rnacentral:rRNA from 1 species
UACAGAGGUCUCAAGCGUUGUUCGGAUUCAUUGGGCGUAAAGGGUGCGUAGGCGGCGCGGUAAGUCGGGUGUGAAAUCUCGGAGCGUUAACUCCGAAACUGCAUUCGAUACUGCCGUGCUUGAGGACUGGAGAGGAGACUGGAAUUUACGGUGUAGCGGUGAAAUGCGUGGAUAUCGUAAGGAAGACCGAGUGGCGAAGGCGGGUCUCUGGGACAGUUCCUGGACGCUGAGGCACGAAGGUCAGGGGAGCAAACGGGG